GGCUCCUCCCGGCCGCCCGGGGCCGAGGCGACGUGAGGUUGUACAAAUCCAUGUGGGGCGGCCCCGGGCGAGCAUCCGAAAGAUCUCUGAUUGGAGUAAUUUUCUGGUACAGACUAUGAGCGGAAUGCAGUGAAAAAUCUGGCCAACAGUGAAAAUUUUGGCUUUAUCCUCAACUUAGUAUAGCAUUUCUUCUCUUCAGUCGCACCUCAUAAUAGAAGAAAAAUGUAUGGAAGUGCAAGAACAAUCACCAAUCUGGAAGGGAGCCCUUCCAGAUCCCCUCGUUUGCCAAGGUCUCCUCGUUUGGGCCACCGAAGAACAAGUAGUGGGGGAGGUGGAGGAGCGGGCAAGACUCUGUCCAUGGAGAAUAUCCAGUCCCUUAAUGCAGCCUAUGCUACGUCUGGACCCAUGUAUCUGAGUGAUCAUGAGGGGGUGGCUUCGACGACUUACCCAAAGGGCACCAUGACUCUGGGAAGGGCCACAAAUAGAGCUGUAUAUGGAGGUCGCAUCACAGCCAUGGGGAGUAGUCCCAAUAUUGCUUCUGCUGGACUUUCCCACACAGAUGUCCUUUCUUACACAGAUCAACAUAUAGGUCUGACCAGCUCAUCCCAUCAUCACCACCACCAGGUCCCCUCCAUGUUGAGGCAGGUAAGGGACAGCACAAUGUUAGACCUGCAAGCCCAGCUCAAGGAACUGCAGAGAGAGAAUGAACUCCUUCGGAAAGAGCUAGACAUCAAGGACAGCAAGUUGGGGUCUUCCAUGAACAGUAUCAAGACCUUCUGGAGUCCGGAGCUCAAGAAGGAGAGAGUCUUGAGGAAAGAAGAAGCAGCCCGGAUGUCUGUCCUCAAGGAGCAGAUGAGGGUUUCCCAUGAAGAAAAUCAGCACCUGCAGUUGACAAUCCAGGCCCUUCAGGAUGAGCUGCGAACCCAGAGAGACCUCAACCACCUCCUGCAGCAAGAGAGCGGCAACCGCGGCGCCGAGCACUUCACCAUCGAGCUGACGGAGGAGAACUUCCGGCGGCUGCAAGCGGAGCAUGACCGGCAGGCUAAGGAGCUGUUCCUAUUGAGGAAGACCUUGGAGGAAAUGGAGCUGAGGAUCGAAACGCAGAAACAGACCCUCAAUGCCCGAGACGAGUCCAUUAAAAAGCUGCUGGAGAUGUUACAAAGUAAAGGUUUGCCGUCCAAAAGUCUGGAGGAAGACAAUGAGAGGACGCGGCGGGUGGCCGAGGCCGAGUCUCAGGUCAGCCACUUGGAGGUGAUUUUAGACCAGAAAGAGAAGGAAAACAUACAUCUGAGAGAGGAAUUGCACCGGAGAAGCCAACUUCAGCCGGAGCCAGCCAAGACGAAGGCUCUCCAGACUGUCAUUGAGAUGAAGGACACAAAAAUUGCUUCAUUGGAGCGAAACAUAAGGGACCUUGAGGAUGAGAUCCAGAUGUUAAAAGCCAAUGGUGUCCUGAACACCGAGGACCGUGAGGAAGAGAUCAAACAAAUAGAGGUUUACAAAAGUCACUCCAAGUUCAUGAAAACCAAGAUUGAUCAGCUAAAGCAGGAACUUUCAAAGAAGGAAUCAGAACUUCUUGCCUUACAAACAAAGCUUGAAACCCUUAGCAAUCAAAAUUCAGAUUGCAAGCAACACAUUGAAGUGCUUAAAGAGUCGCUUACUGCCAAAGAACAGCGGGCUGCCAUUCUUCAAACCGAGGUAGAUGCACUGAGAUUACGCCUGGAAGAGAAAGAAUCUUUUCUCAAUAAAAAAACAAAACAGCUGCAAGAUCUCACGGAAGAGAAGGGGACGCUGGCCGGGGAGAUCCGUGACAUGAAGGAUAUGUUAGAAGUGAAGGAAAGGAAAAUCAAUGUUCUUCAGAAAAAGAUUGAAAACUUGCAAGAACAACUUAGGGAUAAAGACAAGCAACUGACCAAUCUGAAGGACAGAGUGAAGUCCUUGCAGACAGAUUCCAGUAACACCGACACUGCCCUGGCGACACUCGAGGAGGCCUUGUCAGAGAAGGAAAGAAUUAUUGAGCGCUUGAAAGAACAGCGGGAAAGAGAUGAUCGGGAAAGACUAGAAGAGAUAGAAUCUUUCCGAAAAGAGAACAAAGACCUUAAAGACAAGGUCAAUGCUUUGCAAGCUGAACUGACUGAGAAAGAGUCUAGUUUAAUUGACCUCAAGGAGCACGCAUCUUCACUAGCCUCAGCAGGGCUGAAAAGGGACUCGAAAUUAAAAUCUCUAGAAAUAGCCAUCGAACAAAAGAAAGAAGAAUGUAGCAAACUGGAAGCACAGUUAAAAAAGCAAGCUGAGCAGUUGUUCAAUCAGAUGUACAACCCAGCUCAUAAUAUUGAAGAUGACUCCAGGAUGAACCCUGAGUUUGCAGACCGAAUAAAGCAGCUUGAUAAAGAGGCAUCUUACUAUCGCGAUGAGUGUGGCAAGGCCCAAGCUGAAGUCGACAGGUUGCUGGAGAUCCUCAAGGAGGUGGAGAAUGAAAAGAAUGACAAGGACAAGAAGAUCGCGGAACUUGAGAGCUUGACUUUCAGGCAUAUGAAGGAUCAGAAUAAGAAGGUGGCCAACCUCAAGCACAACCAGCAGCUGGAAAAGAAGAAGAAUGCCCAGCUCCUGGAGGAAGUGCGCAGGCGGGAAGAUAGCAUGGCGGACCCCUCCCAGCACCUGCAGAUAGAGGAGCUCAUGAACGCCCUGGAGAAGACCAGACAGGAGCUGGACGCCACCAAGGCACGCCUGGCCUCCACACAGCAGUCCCUGGCUGAAAAGGAAGCGCACUUGGCCAACCUCCGAAUAGAGAGGAGGAAACAGCUGGAGGAGAUCCUGGAGAUGAAACAGGAAGCUCUGCUUGCGGCAAUCAGUGAGAAAGAUGCGAACAUCGCCCUGCUGGAACUGUCUGCCUCCAAAAAGAAGAAGACGCAGGAAGAAGUGAUGGCCCUCAAGCGGGAGAAAGACCGGCUGGUGCACCAGCUAAAGCAGCAGACCCAGAACAGGAUGAAGCUGAUGGCGGACAACUACGAUGAGGAUCACCACUACCACCACCACCACCACCACCACCACCACCACCGGUCUCCUGGGAGGUCGCAGCAUUCUAAUCACAGGCCCUCUCCCGACCAGGAUGACGAGGAGGGCAUAUGGGCAUAGCCGGGCCUGUAAACCAAAGUUCCAGUUUUGUUUUGAGGGAUGAUCCAGCUCUGUUGGAGGCACGGAGGCACAGUCAAAUCUCAUGCUGUACAUUGAUCACCUGUCCAACCUUUGCCUAGAGUGGGAGCCCCCAGUUCCUUCAAGAGAUCCACCUUUACCUGUCUUAAAGAAGAAGAGGAGGGAGCCAGCGGGAGGAGCCGUGGCAGUGUAACGCCAGAGCAGGUCCAGUGUUUACUUGUACCCUUUUGGAGCUAUCAGAAGGGCUGACGAAAGGGAAAUCGCAGCUCCGCAGCAAUAUUCUGAUAAUCCAUUGCCGUGCGGCUCACGCCCCCGUCCAUCACCAUGUGGAAUGCUCAUCAGGACUGAAAAGGAGUCUCCCUUCCAUUACUGAGCACGGUUCCGUUCUACCUGAUCUUCCCUUCACCAUCCCAUGGCGUUUCAUGUGUUGGAAAGGAAAAAUGUGGCAGAGGAGGAAAAGGGUAGAUCCUCCAUUUUAUUUUAUUUUAUUUUAUUUUUUUGGUCAGGAUUUGGGCAUUAAAAAUGUGACCAUCUCUUCUGAAUAUCAAUAUUUGAUAACAUUUUAUUUGCUACAUCAACAUCAUUGGAUGAAUUUCAGCUCUGUGGGAUUUUAACUGUGGAUGCAGCUUCCGUUGGACAAUAAGCUUCAUCUCCAGCUUUUCUGCUUGUUCAAUCUGAGAGGUCGUUCCGGAUGCAUUAGAUUAUCAAAAAGGAUGAGUUCUGUGAGUGAGUGGUGUUGGCAGUGUUUGUAUAUCAAGAUGCAUGGAGUGUUUGACAAAGAAACCAAAACACCAAAAAAUGGCGAGCCUUUACCCUCCUCUAUUUCUUUAAUCCGCUGUUCAAAGAACCACAUUUUGAUGGUGUAACCAGUAGUUACCUCUGGGCCAGGUUGGAAAUGAAAUCAAUUUUUUAAACCACUAAUACUUGCCAAGAAAUCGCCUUAUGAGAAUGUGGUGUGUGUCUCUGACAAUGCAUGGCACAUCUGAAUUGGUCAUUCAUGAUCUUAUCUGCCCUGUCUCUGUACUGGAGAGUGGCAAAAGCCUGAGGCACCUGCACAUUCCUAUGCCGUGUUCCCCGCAUCCCGUGGCCGGGGUGUGGCCGAGCCUCAGGCUCUUACUAUUCCCGUACAGGAGGGUCUCCAUGAAGAAGCUGGGACUCAUUCACAUUUCAAGAUCCAAAUGCUGUGCAAACAGUGUAAGCUUAGAUCUUCUGUAAAUGAAGGGUCAUUUCUCAACUUUUCAAAAAAAAAAAAGUCUCCAACAUGGAUUCCAAAGCAUUUUCAGCAUCAAACAUGAGAACAUUGAUGAAUGAGAAAUAAUCACAAAAGCUGUGUAUCUGUAUAUAGCUCUACACAACAUGUUUUUGGGUACAGUCAUUAUUUAAAGCACAUGCCAGGGAAAGAGACCAAAUUUUGAGGUCUUUUACAUACAGUGACAUGGUACUAAGGAGAAUUAAGCUCCUACUGUUUCCUCUGAAGAUAAAAAAAUAAUUAAAGUGUUAUAACUUCAUGAAACUCAUGACCAAGUCUGGCAAACAUGUGCAGCUCUUGUAUUGAUCCUUUUUUUUUGUCAAUGGAAGAAACCCUUCCACGUGUAUGCAAGUGGAAGAUUAAAAUCUGCAUUUUUAAAGGACAAACAGUGAAUUUAAGCAUGAGUGGCCUUAAUAAAUAUAGUUGUCUUUCUUUGCUGCUGUGAAAAGGAUUCUAAACAGAUGUUCCUGAAUCUUGCAUUGAAUUUAGUUGUUAUUACCUUUUCAAAUGUUGGUGCAACUAACUGGACCUCUCCCGUGAGCCAUAGAGAUAUUUAAAAGACAGGCACCCUGUUUGUCAGGAAAGAUGAAACUGGGUUGCACUGUUCCUUCUCGGUGCAUUAGGAGUCAUAGAUUCAAGCAGGUUUCUUGCUUCUGGCUUUGUCCUUGUAAGUAUAGUGAGCUCUGUAAAGCUUCCGUGUUGCAUAAACCAUCCAAAUACAUUCAUGUUUAAAAAGUCUGUCCUUUAUCAAAGGGAUGUAGGUCUUGAUUUGAAAAGUGAGCAGAGUUCUUCGCAAGUGUAUUCAGCACGUCACGUGCUCACACAAUGUUGCACUGAGAGCCCAGGCCACAAACGUGCCCCCAUGAACAGUGCGGAUGUCCUCACCCAGGAGGUCCUCACUGUCUCCUACAGCCAAGUCCCGACCUGAACUCUGCGACUGAAAACUUGAAGAAGGAAGCAGGAAACCCACGACGGAAAAUGGGGUCCUUGAAACAGAAAAAGCAACCAAAUGCGUAGCGAUAGCGCUAAGUAUGUGCCAAUUUUAUCACCGCUAUUGUUUGGGGGAUCAUUUUUUGCCCCACUUUUGUUAAUUAAAAAUAUUAGUGAUCCUAUAUUGAUGGGGGCAUAUCAUUUAGUCCCUGAACAUUUUAAUUUUUCUAACAUAGCAUCCUUCCCCAUUUCUUGUAAUAUUCCUGAUGUUUGGGGGUUAACAAAAAAAUCUCCCUUUUCACAUAUUAAAAAUAGUCUCUGGGUUUACAACAAACACUGUGAUGUUGGGAAGCUCUUUCCUUUGCACGAACUCUAGCAGGUCCCCCUCUCAUUCUAAUGACGUUGGGAAAAAGAGAAGUUGAGGCUACCAUUUGGGAGAAGUUGGUCUUGCUUUGCGCAAAAGCAGACUUGUCCUUGAUGCCCAAUUUGAUUUCCAUGUACAGUCUCAAUUUUGUAUUUAAUGAUUUUUGUGUAUCCAGUAUGCACGUGAACAGCGUGUCAACUUUCAUUUGGAAGUGGGGUUCAAUUUACUUUUUAAACAGUGUUUAUGACGAGACCUCCAAAGUGUUGACAUAAGUUCUAUCUGAGAAGUUUUUGUGUCGAGUGGCGUUUGAAUGCUGCCAGGGGUCAGUGUAUCUGCUUCCCAGAGACCCUCGUUCGAUAGUGCUUCUUGUAAUAUUUCCUCAAGUGAGUGGCAUGUGGGUUGUGAUAUUGACCAUGUGAUUAUGGACUUCGAUAUGAAAUAAAUAAAUCAGUAAAACUAAGGAACCCUCCGAAACUCCCAGUGGGCAUGUAUUAGCCAGUCAUUGUAACCUCGUGUCUAGUAGAAGUACAACGUACAAGGUCUGUACAGUUCAUAAAUUUGUUACCAUGUGUAUGAGAAGUACUUUGUGCUGAUCGCCUUAUUUAUAUUCAUCAAAUAAACUUUGUU